rnacentral:rRNA from 1 species
AUUGAACGCUGGCGGCAGGCCUAACACAUGCAAGUCGAGCGGAGCGGCGGACGGGUGAGUAAUGUCUGGGGAUCUGCCUGGUAGUGGGGGAUAACGUCCGGAAACGGUCGCUAAUACCGCAUACUAUCAGAUGAGCCUAGGUCGGAUUAGCUAGUUGGUGGGGUAAAGGCCUACCAAGGCGACGAUCCCUAACUGGUCUGAGAGGAUGAUCAGGCACACUGGAACUGAGACACGGUCCAGACGCCUACGGGAGGCAGCAGUGGGGAAUAUUGGACAAUGGGCGAAAGCCUGAUCCAGCCAUGCCGCGUGUGUGAAGAAGGUCUUCGGAUUGUAAAGCACUUUAAGUUGGGAGGCGUUACCAACAGAAUAAGCACCGGCUAACUUCGUGCCAGCAGCCGCGGUAAUAC